UACAAGAAUUCACAAUUUCACUAAUGGAUUUCACUAACGGAUGGUAAAUCCGUUAGUAUCACUAACGGAUUCACCAACGGUUUGCAAUCCGUUAAUGAUAGUAACGGAUUCACCAACGGCUUGAAAUCCGUCAGUGAUUCUAACGGAUUCACGGAAUCACUCUAACGGACUACUUACGGAUGAAGCCAUCCGUCAGUAAUCCGUGGGUGAAAAUUUUGGAGCCAAAAUCCCAGUCUUAAAUGAAAGACCUAAUUCCUUAAAAUCAAAAUCACUGAAAUCUGAAGUUGUCUCCAACCUUGCCGUCGUUCACUGCCAAGUGCAUCGUCCGCCGCCAUCAACGGUUCGCCGCCAUCAACGGUUCGCCGCCAUCAACGGUUCGCCGCCAUCAACGGUUCGCCGCCAUCAACCGUCGACAACGAAGCUUAUUCUCAACAUCAAUAUCCACGGGCUCACUGAAAUCGGAACUUGGUUCCAACCUAUCGGCUGUUCACUGCCCUGUUCAUCCAACGUCCACCGCCAUCAAAAGGUUCGCCGCCAUCAACGGUUCGCCGCCAUCGACAGUCGACAACGGAGCUUAUUCUCAGCAUCAAUAUCCACGGGCUCACUGAAAUCGGAACUUGGGUCCAACCUCUCGGCCGUUCACUGCCCUGUUCAUCCAACGUCCACCGCCAUCAAAAGGAAAUCUCACACUCAAUGCAUACGAGGAGGAUUGUGAAUUUGCCGAUCCAGCUGGUUCAUUUAGAGGACUUGCACGUUUCAAGAGAAACUGUACAAAUUUCGGAUUACUUAUUGAGAAGUCGAAUAUGAAUCUUACAAAGUGGGAAGAUUUUGAGGUGAGAUCAUUGUGUUUUAGGCAUUAUGUUCAACAGAGCUGAGGAAGUUUCAUUCAUGGAUUUUGCCAACACUAGUGGACAAGGGAAUUGGGCAUUGGCGUUUUAGCUGUAUCAUGUCAUUUUCUUGGAGGCCUAUUCUCUCUGCUACUGGGUAUACAGAGUACUAUUUUGACGCACAAUCUGGAAGAGUAUGCAGGGUCCUGGCAGCUGUGAAGGUGCAAAACAUGACAAAAAUUCAACUACAAAGUGCGAGAGAAAAUCCAUGAACAACGUUCGAAUGGCAAAGACAAGGUUAAAUGAACGUGUAAAGAAUGAUUGCUUUCCUAAAGUGAACAAGGAGAAUCUCCAAGAGCCCUAAUAUAGUUUCCAAUAGAACUUUGAAGAGAGGACCUUAUGGUUAUAAACAAGCUGAAGCACAUAAUGGUGCUGCCCAUAAUUUUUAUUUCAAAUUAAAAUUGUAGUACAAAUUCUUUAAGUUUCACAUAUAUUUGAAUGAGUAAUUUGGUUUUUUACGUAGUA